UGUCUCCUCCAUAUCUCCUCUUGAUAUGGAUUCGACCCGCCCUCGGCGGGCUUUUUUGU
rnacentral:ncRNA from 1 species